rnacentral:miRNA from 1 species
GACGUCGAUGGAGGAGGACCUC